UACGUAGGGGGCUAGCGUUGUCCGGAAUCAUUGGGCGUAAAGCGCGUGUAGGCGGUCCGGUAAGUCCGCUGUAAAAGUCAAAGGCUCAACCUUUGAAUGUCAGUGGAUACUGCCCGGGCUAGAGUCCGGAAGAGGCGAGUGGAACUCCUGGUGUAGCGGUGGAAUGCGCAGAUAUCAGGAAGAACACCAACGGCGAAGGCAGCUCGCUGGGACGGUACUGACGCUGAGACGCGAAAGCGUGGGGGAGCGAACAGG
rnacentral:rRNA from 1 species